GUCACGGUGGGUUAGUGGUUAGCACGUUUGCUUCAAACCUCCCAGGGUCGAGGGUUCGAUUCCCACCGUGGCG